rnacentral:rRNA from 1 species
CACGGGGGGAGCAAGCGUUGUUCGGAAUCACUGGGCGUAAAGGGCGUGUAGGCGGUUCGGUAAGUGGGAUGUGAAAUGCCCCGGCUCACCCGGGGACCGGCAUCCCAAACUGCCUGACUUGAGUAUGGGAGAGGAUGUGGGAAUUCCUGGUGUAGCGGUGAAAUGCGUAGAUAUCAGGAGGAACACCGGUGGCGAAGGCGCACAUCUGGCCCAAUACUGACGCUGAGGCGCGAAAGCUAGGGGAGCAAACGGG